CGCGGCCUAUCAGCUUGUUGGUGGGGUAACGGCCUACCAAGGCAUCGACGGGUAGCUGGUCUGAGAGGACGAUCAGCCACACUGGAACUGAGACACGGUCCAGACUCCUACGGGAGGCAGCAGCAGGGAAUCUUGCGCAAUGGGCGAAAGCCUGACGCAGCAACGCCGCGUGGGGGAUGAAGGCCUUCGGGUUGUAAACCCCUUUCAGGAGGGAAGAAAUUGACGGUACCUCCAAAAGAAGGACCGGCCAACUACGUGCCAGCAGCCGCGGUAAUACGUAGGGUCCGAGCGUUAUCCGGAAUCAUUGGGCGUAAAGAGCUCGUAGGCGGUUCAGCAAGUCGGCUGUGAAAGUCCGAGGCUCAACCUCGGAAUUGCAGUCGAUACUGCUGUGACUUGAAUUCGGUAGAGGAGAUUGGAAUUCCACGUGUAGCGGUGAAAUGCGCAGAUAUGUGGAGGAACACCAGUAGCGAAGGCGGAUCUCUGGGCCGAUAUUGACGCUGAGGAGCGAAAGCGUGGGGAGCAAACAGGAUUAGAUACCCUGGUAGUCCACGCCGUAAACGUUGGAUACUAGGUGUGGCGGUCUUACCAACGACUGCCGUGCCGAAGCUAACGCAUUAAGUACCCCGCCUGGGGAGUACGG
rnacentral:rRNA from 1 species